rnacentral:tRNA from 4 species
CGGGGCGUGGCUCAGCUUGGUAGAGCACCUGCUUUGGGAGCAGGGGGUCGCAGGUUCAAAUCCUGUCGCCCCGA